CCUACGGUGGACAGCAGUGAGGAAUAUUGGUCAAUGGGCGCGAGCCUGAACCAGCCAAGUAGCGUGAAGGAUGACUGCCCUACGGGUUGUAAACUUCUUUUGUAAAGGAAUAAAGUGAGGCACGUGUGCCUUUUUGUAUGUACUUUAUGAAUAAGGAUCGGCUAACUCCGUGCCAGCAGCCGCGGUAAUACGGAGGAUCCGAGCGUUAUCCGGAUUUAUUGGGUUUAAAGGGUGCGUAGGUGGGUUGUUAAGUCAGUUGUGAAAGUUGGCGGCUCAACCGUGAAAUUGCAGUUGAUACUGGCAGUCUUGAGUGCAGUUGAGGUAGGCGGAAUGCGUGGUGUAGCGGUGAAAUGCUUAGAGAUCACGAAGAACUCCGAUUGCGAAGGCAGCUUACCAAGCUGCCACUGACGUUGAGGCACGAAAGUGUGGGUAGCAAACAGGAUUAGAUACCCUAGUAGUC
rnacentral:rRNA from 1 species